CAAGAUUGGAAUGCGAAGACUCAAAUACUUGAAUUUGAAGUUCUCAUCAGGGGGAGUUAAUACAUGUUGCACUCUUUUUUCCAUACAAGGUUUUGUCCCACUGGGUUUUUCUUGUAAGGUUUUUAAUGAGGCAACCAAAAUGUAUAUUAUUAGAAAUAUGUACUCUUUUUCCUACACUAGAAUUUUUCCCACUGGAUUUUUUCUAGUAAGGUUUUAACGAGGCAUAUUAUCUAUCAAUGGACAUCCAAGGGGGAGUGUUAUAAAAUAUAUAUAUGAAUGUCCAUAUAGUCUAGGUUUUCCACAUGUCCUAAAUAAGAAUAGGUACAUGUACAUUUGGUGGCAUGUAUGAAAUGAAGAAAAUGAAGCAACACAAGUUUGAUUUUAACUCUUGGUGUUGUCAUUGAUGACUUCAUCAAGAGAUUUACCAUCUCUAUAAAUAGAUGGUUAAGUUCUCAAUUUGUAAGGGAUAUCAACAAGAAGUGAAAUACAAUCUCUCCCUCCUUUCUACAAA